GAUGAACGCUGGCGGCGUGCCUAAUACAUGCAAGUCGAGCGAACAGACGAGGAGCUUGCUCCUCUGACGUUGGCGGCGGACGGGUGAGUAACACGUGGAUAACCUACCUAUAAGACUGGGAUAACUUCGGGAAACCGGAGCUAAUACCGGAUAAUAUAUUGAACCGCAUGGUUCAAUAGUGAAAGACGGUUUUGCUGUCACUUAUAGAUGGAUCCGCGCCGCAUUAGCUAGUUGGUAAGGUAACGGCUUACCAAGGCGACGAUGCGUAGCCGACCUGAGAGGGUGAUCGGCCACACUGGAACUGAGACACGGUCCAGACUCCUACGGGAGGCAGCAGUAGGGAAUCUUCCGCAAAGGGCGAAAGCCUGACGGAGCAACGCCGCGUGAGUGAUGAAGGUCUUCGGAUCGUAAAACUCUGUUAUUAGGGAAGAACAAAUGUGUAAGUAACUAUGCACGUCUUGACGGUACCUAAUCAGAAAGCCACGGCUAACUACGUG
rnacentral:rRNA from 1 species